ACAAGCGGAGGAGCAUGUGGUUAAUUCGAUGAUACGCGAGGAACCUUACCUGGGCUCGAACGUAAGAUGACUGUAGGUGAAAGCUUACAUCUCUUCGGAGCAUUUUACGAGGUGCUGCAUGGUUGUCGUCAGCUCGUGCCGUGAGGUGUCGGGUUAAGUCCCAUAACGAGCGCAACCCCUACCUUUAGUUGCCAUCAGGUUAAGCUGGGGACUCUAAAGGAACUGCCUACGCAAGUAGUGAGGAAGCGGGGAUGACGUCAAAUCAGCACGGCCCUUACGUCCAGGGCUACACACGUGCUACAAUGGCCGAUACAGAGGGCAGCUACCUGGUGACAGGAUGCAAAUCUCCAAAGUCGGUCUCAGUUCGGAUCGGAGUCUGCAACCCGACUCCGUGAAGUUGGAUUCGCUAGUAAUCGCGCAUCAGCCAUGGCGCGGUGAAUACGUUCCCGGGCCUU
rnacentral:rRNA from 1 species